UACGUAGGGUGCAAGCGUUGUCCGGAAUUAUUGGGCGUAAAGGGCUCGUAGGCGGUCUGUCACGUCGGGAGUGAAAACUCAGGGCUUAACCCUGAGCCUGCUUCCGAUACGGGCAGACUAGAGGUAUGCAGGGGAGAACGGAAUUCCUGGUGUAGCGGUGAAAUGCGCAGAUAUCAGGAGGAACACCGGUGGCGAAGGCGGUUCUCUGGGCCUGUACUGACGCUGAGGAACGAAAGCGUGGGGAGCGAACAGG
rnacentral:rRNA from 1 species